CUAUAGAGAUUUCCUAUACGAUCCUGAAAUUGCUGAAAAUUCAAGAACAUUCAAAACUGUCUGUAUCAAGCGUGAUACUACCCGAACUCUGGCACAGCCUCUCUACUAUCACCGAGCUAUUAAUAUUGUAUAUGUCCUAAUUCGGGCCCGCAGUAAUGGCUCACAUUGUUGCGGUCACCCAACCUAUAACCCAUGUCUAUUCUGUGCCUAUAAUCUCUAUG